rnacentral:rRNA from 1 species
UACGUAGGGGGCAAGCGUUGUCCGGAUUUAUUGGGCGUAAAGAGCGUGUAGGCGGCUAGAUAGGUCCGUUGUGAAAACUCGAGGCUCAACCUCGAGACGUCGAUGGAAACCAUCUGGCUAGAGUCCGGAAGAGGAGAGUGGAAUUCCUGGUGUAGCGGUGAAAUGCGCAGAUAUCAGGAAGAACACCCGUGGCGAAGGCGGCUCUCUGGGACGUGACUGACGCUGAGACGCGAAAAGCGUGGGGAGCGAACAGG